CUAAGCCGCAGUCGGAGGUUUAACCAACUGAGCCAGCCAGGAACCCUUUGAGAAGCGACAAAAAGCAGGCAUCUUCAUUUUGUUUUGGAUUGCAGGGGAAAAGCUUUCUGCCUUUCACCAUUGAACGACAUUAGGACUCCUCUGAGCCUCCAACACGCUAAUCUGGGCCGCGACCCUCUGAGGGGAGGAAUGAGACAAGGAAACUCGUUUGGUCUCAGAGCUCUUUAUAGGGAAGCAUCUCAAGAGACACUUGCAAGCAAACAUUCACUGAACACUUACUAUCUUCUAAGAACGCGGCUGAACCCUUGAGAUUUAUUUUUGGGCAACACCGAGGACCUCAGUAAAAGGGGCUUCGAUGAAGAUGCCUCCCCCCGCCCAUCUCCAGGGGGAGCCGUGUGAUUCAGGCUUGGCCACUCAAGCACCAAAAUAUCUUGGCUUCAGUGAUUGGCUCAAGAAGGACAGAUGACCCAAACGAGGCCAACAGGGCUAAUCCCCGGAGUUCAUUGGAGUCACCAGUUUUCUGCUCGGGAAUUGCUAGUGGGUGCGUGUCUGGCAGGAGCUGCCAGGAGUGCUCCCUAAGGAGGUGAUGCCUGAGGAGGGAGCUGACACAGGAGAGCAGACCUGAUGACAUUGUUCGAACUGUGCCAAAGACAGGUCCACCCUUGGACUUUUCAGUGAUCAUGAGCCAAUAAAUUACUUUUGUGUUGUUCUUGUCUUAAGCAAGUAUGAGUUGGGUUCCUUCCUUUGAAACCGAGAUCUAGCAAAGCCUCCCCGCCAUUCUUAAUCAUUAUUAACAACUGUGUCUCCUUCUUGCCUUUUCCUGCUAUGCUUAUUUAGACAUACUGGACAUUUUUUAAAUAAAAAUUGACACCGCUGGCUACUCCUUCCUUUGAGAUAUACUCUUUUGCUUAUUUUUGUGAAACCUCACUCUCUUAGUUUCUCUCGGGCCCCUCUGAAGUCCUGUUCGGUUCAUUUUCCUUUUGCUGGCUCCUCUUCAUUUGCA